AAAAAGAUCAACUUAUUUCACAACUUAUUAAGGAGUUGGAGAUCCUUUUGCUGGCCUACGGAGAAUAUGAGCACAUAUUUCGCCGCGAAUGCAACACAGCUGCAGCAGCGAAGGAGAGAGAGACCGCAUGGGAGAAAAUUGCUGCCCGAGUCAACGCGUGCAAUCCAACAGGAGAAAGGAGGACUUGGAAGCAGCUCAAAAUGAAACAUAAAAACAUAAUUCAAAAAGCCAACAGAAAGAAGGCAGAGGCCCGAAAAACGGGUGGAGGGCCACCUCCACCACCUCUGACAGAGGCUGAGGAGCUGGCUCUCAGCCAAUACAGGGGUCGCCCUGUGGCUGAAGGCAUCCCCGGGGGAAGCUCAUCUGAGCCUGUCACCCCCCAGGACACAAGUGCCUACAUCAGAUGCAAGUAUACACUUAUGUCUUUUUUUUUAAA